UACGGGGGGGGCAAGCGUUGUUCGGCAUUACUGGGCGUAAAGCGCGUGUAGGCGGCCCUGCAAGUCGGAUGUGAAAUCCCACGGCUCAACCGUGGAAGUGCAUUCGAAACUGCGGGGCUGGAGUACUGGAGAGGAAGGUGGAAUGCUCGGUGUAGAGGUGAAAUUCGUAGAUAUCGAGCGGAACACCGGUGGCGAAGGCGGCCUUCUGGACAGUAACUGACGCUGAGACGCGAAAGCGUGGGGAGCAAACAGG
rnacentral:rRNA from 1 species